CCUACGGGAGGCUGCAGUGAGGAAUAUUGGUCAAUGGACGAGAGUCUGAACCAGCCAAGUAGCGUGAAGGAUGACUGCCCUAUGGGUUGUAAACUUCUUUUAUAUGGGAAUAAAAUGGUCCACGAGUGGGAUUUUGUAUGUACCAUAUGAAUAAGGAUCGGCUAACUCCGUGCCAGCAGCAGCGGUAAUACGGUGGAUCCGAGCGUUAUCCGGCUUUAUUGGGUUUAAAGGGAACGUAAGUGGAUUGUUAAGUCAGUUGUGAAAGUUUGCGGCUCAACCGUAAAAUUGCAGUUGAAACUGGCAGUCUUGAGUACAGUAGAGGUGGGCGGAAUUCGUGGUGUAGCGGUGAAAGGCUUAGAUAUCACGAAGAACUCCGAUUGCGAAGGCAGCUCACUGGACUGCAACUGACACUGAGGCUCGAAAGUGUGGGUAUCAAACAGGAUUAGCUACCCCUGUAGUC
rnacentral:rRNA from 1 species